GCAGAUGUGGCGGAACUGGCAGACGCGCUGGAUUUAGGUUCCAGUGCCUUCGGGCGUGCAGGUUCGAUUCCUGUCAUCUGCA
rnacentral:tRNA from 2 species